GCCGGUGCGAAACCGGUGCUGUCCCGCAACUGUGAUGCCCCGAACCGGCGUCGGCCCACCGCCGCUGCCGAUCGGGGACGAGCCAGG
rnacentral:ncRNA from 1 species